rnacentral:rRNA from 1 species
CGCCCGCGCGCGCGGCGGGCCUACGGGAGGCAGCAGUGAGGAAUAUUGGUCAAUGGGCGGAAGCCUGAACCAGCCAAGUAGCGUGCAGGAUGACGGCCCUAUGGGUUGUAAACUGCUUUUAUACAGGAAUAAAGUUAGCCACGUGUGGUUAUUUGUAGGUACUGUAUGAAUAAGGACCGGCUAAUUCCGUGCCAGCAGCCGCGGUAAUA